GCCGCCGCCGCCGCCCUACCUGGUGAAGCAGUACUCGCAGUGGUUGCCCCGCUCGUUGACCUGGAAUUACAUGGACGGAAGAGGAAAUGCAUUGGCCGGCCCAGCUCACCGAGUCUCUGAGGCAUGCUGCGAACGUUGCAGAGGAAGCCAGAGAGAACCUUGCCUUCAAGGAAUUUAGGCUGUUGGGGGAUAAUGCGAUGCUGUGGCCAGUGUCCAGGACACUGCGCUAGAGUUUGCAGUAGUUUUAAUAUGCUUGACCACCCACGAACUGUGAUCUUAGAAAAGUCACUUGGGUUAGGAGUCAAAGGAUUUAAAGCCCACAAAGCCUGAAACGUAAAUCCUAUACACAUGCACGCUAUUACUUUUCAUAUGAGAAAGGAAAAUAUAAUCCGUGUUCCACAUGAUUAUGUAAAGACUGGAAUUGAUGUACAUGCAGUAAAGACUAAAAUUGUGACGAGAUCAUUUAGCAGAAACCACUACUUCAAAAUAGGACCUCAAACAGUUACCUGUGUAAGUUCAGGACUGGUUGAGCAAAGGGAAAGGAUUAAUAUGAUUGGAGAUGUAAAAUCAGUGGAAUUUUUGGCAUUUCAGUAAAAUGUCUUUAUCAGCUGGGUGUGGUGGCUCAGCCCUGUAAUCCCAACACUGUGGGAGGCCAAGGUGGGAGGAUCAUUUGAGCCCAGGAAUUGGAGAGUUGGAGACCAGCUUGGGCAACAUAAAGACCCCGUCUCUAUGGGAAAUUAACCACCUCUCAAGUGGUGCUGAGGUGGGAGGAUAGCUUGAGCCUGGGAAGUCAAGGUUGCAGUGAGCUGUGGUGACUCCAUUAUACUCCAGCCUGGGUGACAGAGCAGGACCUUGUCUCAAAAGAAAACAAAAAAGCCCUUAUUAGUGGCAAACUAAAUAAGCCUCUAACCCGUCUUCAAGUAAAGGAAGUUAUGAUAGUAUUUUCAUUUAUGCAUUUUAAGAAACUUCGACUGACUAUGGCCAGCAACUGGGAUAGAAAGAUGGACAUCAGCCGGCUGUGGUGGCUCACGCCUGUAAUCCCAGCACUUUGGGAGGCCGAGGUAGGCGGAUCACCUGAGGUCGAGAGUUCAAGACCAGCCUGACCAACAUGGAGAAACCUCAUCUCUACUAAAAAUACAAAAUUAGCCAGGUGUGGUGGUGCAUGCCUGUAAUCCCAGCUACUCGGGAGGCUGAGGCAGGAGAAUCGCUUGAACCUGGGAGGUGGAGGUUGCUGUGAGCCAAAAUCGCACCAUUGCACUCCAGCCUGCGCAAGAAGAGCGAAACUCUGUCUCAAAAAAAAAAAAAAAAAAAAAGUGGACAAAAUGUAGUCCUAGGUCCUUGCAUUUGGCACAUUCAAGUUUGAUAAUACCAUUAGUUAUUGAGUAUUGUUGACCAGGCAUCGUGCUCCAUCAUUAAACACAUUAUCUGGUUUAUCUUUACAACAGGCUAAUGAGUUAGGUAUUAUGCCCCUCAUUGCCAAAAUUAGGAAGGAAACUAAGACCCAGAAGGAAUGAUUUUCAAGGCCACACAAUAAAUUGCAGAAUUUGGUUUCCAAGUCAGUCUGAAUUCAAGGUCCAUGUUCCUAACCACAGUGUUUUGCUGCAAACAAACACAGUUCACUGGGAUAAGUGCAGUUAUGGUGGCUUGUACAAAAUGUUCUGUGGUAGUACAGGCAGGGAGUGACAGCUUUAGCCUGCUAAACAGUCAAGACAGGCAUCACAUUCAAGUAACGUUAGAGCUGAGCCUGAAGGAUGGACAGGAUUUUGCAAGUGGAGGUGGGGAGAAGAGUUUUCUGGGCAGAGAGAACUGCGUACAAAGACAGAAGACCCUGAAAGCACAGAGCUUGUAGUUGGGGGCCCCUGAGCAUCUGGAAGAGAGGACAGGAAAUGAGGCAGGAACAGCUGAAGAGCAUCUUCUCCAGAGGCGCUGAUAAAUGAAAACCUUAAAAAAAGAAAUCCUAUGAAUUCUUAGAUUGGCGGUGCUGGACAGCAAGUGACCAGAAGAGAAACAAGUGGUAACCCAACCUGCAUGAAGAAAAUUCAGUAGAACCUUGCUGGUGUAGAGAAGAUGGCACAAAGAAGAGUGAGAACACUUUUAUGAAAGGCUUAGGAAAUGUUGAAGUUUUCCAGUUUUCUUCCUAUGUGAAGGAACAUAGUGAAGGGGGAAAGGCCCCUUUUUUGCACAUACCUGUGGAGGGUAACGCUGUGUGGGUGCAUUUAGCCCUAAUCUCUGCCGUGGAUCAGGAUCGUUGGUUGUGGAGGAGGAAGAAGAGAGGGAAAGGCUUGAAUACUUACAAAAGAUUUUGAGAGCCUAAAUGAUGAAAGCUAGCAGUUCUACAGUGUUUACUAAGUGCAAGAAACUGUUGUAAGAGUUUUGCAUAUAUUAACUCCUUUGAUUCGAUUCUAAUGACCCUAUGAGGUAGGUGCUAUUAUUAUCAUCUCCAUUUCACAGAGAAGGAAAUUGAGACACAGAGAGAUUAAAUAACUUGACCAAGAUCACACAGCUAUAAUAGUCAAUUGUGGAGCUGGGAUUCAAGCUCUGGUGUCUGCUUUCAGAUUCAUACCCUUACCCAUUACCCUGUACUACCCAUCUGGAAUGUGGAGAACGUGCUGAUAACAUUGCUAAUAAUCAUCUGUCGUUUAUUUCUGACUACUCUCCAAUUUUUUUAAGAGACCUGUAUCUAACCUUUGGUGAUAACUAAACUAUAGGAGAAAACUUGAGUUCUGAUAGUAAGAAACAUUUACAAAAUGGUCUGAAAGUUGAUUUGAAGUCGAAAACCCUUAUAUGUGUUUGUAAAUUCUAGAGAAGAAGUGGCAGCCAGGCAGAUGAGCUCUCUGUUCUGUGCAGAGCUGAUGGUACUCCCUGCCCUGGGGAGCCGGCACUGGCAGCGAUUACAUCACUAAGUCACCCUCCAUACUCAGCUGCUUGCUAAGAAUUAAAUUGCUGGCACCAGAUCUGGUGAGCCUCAUGUUACCAUGGCUUGUUUGUGGAGAGCACAUUAGUGUGAUAUGUUCAGUCUUCAGAAACAGUUAAACAUCAGCUUUAUUACCAAAAAGAUAGUGUAUGCUGGUAUUACUCCUGGUUAUUCGGUUCAGCUCCUCAAGUGAACAGUCCCACACCUAUUUAGCCCAUUGAGUCAAGCUGACCUCCUUUCCCGGUUACGGGUUUGUGGACAGGAGUGACAGGCGGGUUCACUUGCAAGGGAGCCAGAGAGCCGCUCGUGCCUCUGCUGCCCUCUAGAGGCGUGUCAGGCCAAGGCCGCUCAUCUCUGAGCCUUGCCGGCGGAUUGCACCACCAGUCCACCUUUUGUCUCCCUUUUGAAUCUCCACUGAACACCAUUUGUCAAAAGGGUUGAGGCAAAACCACUCUGAGCUUCCAAAACAAUAAUAAGACUUAAUUAGAAUUCCAAGCUAAGCCAUUGAGAGUUGCUGUUUAUAUUGGGGAAGAUGUAACACUUCAGUCCUGUGUUUUUCAGCCCCUACAUCUCAACCAUCAAAGGGAAAUGAGUCAAGGUUGUUUUAAAACUAUAAAUAGAGCUAACACUUACAAAGCAAUUGCCACAUGCCAGGUACUAUUCUAAGCGCCUCGCAUAUGAUGACCUAUUUAAUGAGGUGGGUGGUAUGAGCAUCUCUAUCUUAUAAAUAGGGGAACUGAGGCAAGGGACUGUAAGUAUUUCUCACAGUUCAUGGGUGGUGGAACUGGCUUUGAAGCCCGGUAGUUCUGGCUCCAUGAACUUGGCUUAUAAUCACUUUACUGUACGGCCUCUUUUAUAGCUAUCGAGGCAUGCAUUGCAAGUCCAAUUUUUAGGUAAAGGUUUUGUUAAAAAUCUUUAACCUUAAUCUUGUAAUGAGGAAACAAUUGGCCCAGACCCUUUAAAAAUGUCAAUGACGUAAUAAAUAAAGAAGGAGAAGGAGGAGGAGGAAGGGGAGAAGUAUUUUAGAGCUAUGACAACUAAAUAUAAUUCAUUGUCCAUGGUUAGACCCUGGAUAUAAAGAGACAAAACUACAAACAAUAUUAUUGGGAAAUUAGGAAAAUAUGAAUAUGGGCUAUAUUUUGGAUAAUCAUAUUAAUGUUGCAUUUCUUGAGUAUGACCUCUUAUUGCUGUUAUAUAGCAGUAUGUCCUUGUUCUUAAGUGAUACUUGAACUAUUUAGGGGUAAAAUAUCAUGAUAUCAGCAAAUUACUAUCAGACAAUUCAGGAAAAAAAUAUACCUGAGAAAGAAAGAGAAAGCAAAUGUGGCAAAAUGUAAAAUAAUUAGGAAACUAGGUAAAGGGUAUAUGGUGUUCAUUAUGCUAUUUUUAAAACUUUUUUCUAGGUUUGACAUUUUUAGCAUAAAAAGUAGAGGCAAAAUAAUUACUUAUUUCAGAAUAAGAGGUAGCCAUGGCUACACCCAAGGUAUCUGCCUGGACACCACAAGUGGUACAAAUAAGCAAAGUGUGUUAGUUGGGAAUCCACAGGCAAGCUUUGAAAUCUGUAGACAUAUGUUAUAUGAAAGUGUAUGAGAUAUUACAUCUUAUUUAUUCAUGUUUUUCCAUUAGUACUAGGAAUUACAUGCAUCAUUAUGUAUUUUCAAAAAAGAUCAAGUUUCCAUCCAAUAGAAAAUAAAUAGUGCAAAUUACAAAGUCUUGUAUGAAACUAAAUAAGGUCUAAUUGUAGUCUUGGGAUUAUUCUGUUUUUAUCAUCAACAAAUAAGGCAUUUGUAGGAGAGUGCCUGCCCUAUUUAUUCAGCACUGUGUUCCAGGUACUGAUUUAGUGCUGGGGAUACACCAGUGAGCAAACCAAGAUCUCUGAACUCAUGGUGCUCGCCUUCUGAUGGGACAGAGAGACAAAUAUUAUAGCUCAGUAAACUGCAGAGAAUGUUAGAAAGUGAUUAUUGCCAAAGAAAAGUAGAAAAAUAGAGCAGCAUAGUGGGAAAUUGGGACAGGCAGUUGCAGAGAAGAGGGUUUCAGUUUUAAAGAGGAUCCCCAGGGUAGGUUUCAUCAAAUAUGACCUCAUGGCACCUGGAAGGAAAGUAGAAGAGAACAGAGAAGAACAACCCUAAGGUGACAGCAUGCCCAGAGUAUGGCUAGAGCUGAGUGAGCAAGGGGGAAAGAGGAGAAGGAUAUGAAGUCAGAGAGGAAAUAGAGGAUGAGUUCACAAAGGUCACCAUGAAGGCUUUGGUUUUCAUGCUGAGUAAAAUAGGAAGCCACUGGAUGAUUUUGAGCAGAGGAGUGAGGUGAUCUGACUUAACACUUAAAAGGAUCAAUCUCGUAGGGGGACAAAGGUGGAAGCAACAUCUCCCGUUAGGAGCCUAUUGCAACAAUCCAAGCAAGAGAGGAGAGUGACUCAGCACAGGCUGGUAGAAUUGGUGGUGGAGAGAUGUGAUCAGAUUCUGGAUAUUUUGUUGGUAGAGCCAACAGGAAGGAUUUGCUGAUAAAUUAGAUGUGAUGUUUGAGAGAAAAAGACAAGGGUGACUCAAUAUUUUUGUCCAGAGCAACUGGAAAAAUGAAGCUGUCAUUCCCACAGAUAGGGAAGACUAGGUAGAGCAGAUUUUGAGGGAGAAGAUUAAGAGUUCAGUUUUGGACAUGCUGAGUUACAGCUGUCUAUCAGACAUCCAGAUGGAGAUGUCAUAAAGGUAGUUGGAUAUAGAAGUUUUGAGAUUGUAGAGAGGUCAGGGCUAGAGAUUUAAAACUGGUCACAAUUGGUGUAUUGAUGGUAUUCAUAGCCGUGAGCCUGGAUAGGAUGACCAAGACAGUGAGUGUGGAUAGAGAAGAGAAGAGUAUUAAGGAAUGUGCCCUUGAAUUCUUCUCUUUUAUUGUUUAUUUAUACUUGUUAUGUUUCUCAUUUUGUUUGGAAAAUUAUUACGCUGUGUAAAAUAAAAAGGAGAGUUGACAAUUAUUUAAAUUACUGAAGAUAGUCAAUCAAAUAAUUAAAUUUGCAAAGUAUAUUAAUUUUCCUUAAUUACCUGCUCUGAUUUUCUACAAAUGUCUGUAUUAUUCAGAUACUAUGACAUCUACAUUUUGAGCUGUUAGUGUUAUUUAAUCAAUAACAUACUCAUCUUUAGGACAGUAAUGUUCAAAAAUGCUUUCAAGCAAUUCUCUUGGUGGAGGAAUAGUCUGCAUCUGUGUUUAUUUUCUUAAAUUAAGUGUGCUUUGUUGGAAUAUGAGAAUUCUUUCCUCUUUUUCUGAUGGUUAUGACUUGACAGUCCUCAUUUUGGUGAUAUAGUAAAUGGCUUUUAAAGGUUAUGCCUAAGCAUAGCUACUAUCAGCAAGGACAGAGAGGAAAGGAAAUGCUGUCUCUGGGGGGUUGGGCGGAAUACACACACACACACACACACACACACACACACACACACAUAUAUUUGUUAUUUUCAUAAAAUAAAAAUAACUGUUGAAAAUGAGGAGUUUACUCAACUGCAAAUAAGUCCCUGUGGUGAAUGUAUUAGUAAGUUUUGAAUUUUAGUCUCAGACCCGUUUUAACACUCUUAUAACUGGGUAACUGUUAUAGCUGGUUAACUGAAUAACUGGUUAACUAAAUGUAGGCAAGCUCCAGAACAUAUUUUCCCACCACAAUACACUGUAUAAUGGUAGUAGACAAGCUAGAUAAUACAGACAUAUGAUGAGAUUUAUCAGUAGAGGAAAAACCCAAUUUAAUCUAACUUUGGAAACACAGCGGCUUAUUGAGUCAUAUGUUGAAAAAUACAGAGGUAGACCAGGCUUCUGUAUUUUUGAUCAAGAAUCUAGUUGUUUUAUUUCUUUCUUUGUUUUUUUUUCUUGCUUCUCUGCUCUGCCAUCCAAAUUGUUGUCUUCCACCCAGUGCUGGCUUUCUUCGCAGGUCUAGAGAUGCUGCCAAAAGUAAGCUGGGCUGUUUGCUUUCUUGAAAAUGCCCAAGGAGAAGAAAUGCCUUUCUUCAAUUUAUCAGGGAAGUGAUUUGAGUUUAGUGCCAAUUCUUGUGGCCGGUAUAAUGCCAUGUGUUGGCAGUCUUAUGGCCUCAGUCACCUGAGCCCUGUGACAAGUUCAAAGGGAUUCCCUUGACUUGCAUUUUCGGAGAUGUUGGUGGCGCCAAUGCCCUUUGAAGCACGGGCUGCUGUGCAGCAGGGGUCGGGGGUCAUGGCUGUUGGGGAGAUGAGCAUCAUGGCACUCCAUGUGGCCUAAUCACCCACAUAAUCCAAACUCAAUUAAUAUUACCUUUGGAUUUAUUGUGGAGACUCAGGUUCCUAGCUUUGGUUGAUAUUUCUCUCUCUCGGGGGCUUUCUCCAUUUGGUAGUGAUAGAAAACCAGCUAUAUCUAGUUAUGAAAAAAUCUGAACUAAAACUCAGUAGACAUGGACAAAAGGAAGAUACUUCACUUUUUCCUUAGCUACUAGUCAAUAUAAACAAAUGCCUUUUUACCUCUAUAGAGAAUAUCUUUUUUCCUGUUACUUAGAGCAGAUUUAGAACAACAUAUACAUAAAUAUCAUUUUUAUGUGAACACUUCUCUGUCACUGAUGUUGUUUGAAUGAAUUUUUAUGAUAGAAGCUUAUUUCCAACACUUUCAAAUUCCAUUAUAUGGAUGACUCCAAGAAAGUCAUUAUAUUUACGUCACAGUUUAAUGGGGGCUUUUCAACUAAAGUUGAUGAACUGAACAUAUAUGAUUACCACAGCUUCCUCACUGACACCAUACUAAAAUGAAAGUAAAGGUGUUUUUAAGGGCAUACAUUCUCAAGGACAAAGAGAAUUUGAGGGGAGACAACAACAACAAAAUGUUGGAAGUUGAAAGGCAAUGGACAAAUUCCAGAUCAUGAAAACUGAAAGCUUACAGUGGAAAAAGUAUAGAAGAAAUCCAGUUUGAGCCUCUAAACCACCAAGGGCUCAGGAACUGGCAAUAUGAGGUAACUUUGAAAGUGAAGGUGUAUACAGGGUGGAAACAGAAUUGUUGAUGAGAUUGUUAAAGAAUCAGAUAAGCCCCACAUCGGUAUUCUCCUGCUGCUUUGAAGGUGGGCAAUUGCUCCCCUUCUCAGUCCUCCACUCCAUAAUAUAAAGAGAGGAGAUCUAUUUUCUGGAGAGGUGAACCAGAGGAUCUCUGGAUGGGGGUACACCAGCACAGCUGAGGGUAGAGGAUAUAACUGGGUAAUCAGGUGGAACUCUAUACAAUAAGAGGGGUGAAGUCCAAUUUCAUUGCCUCUCCAGACUCCCAAAAUUCCAGGAGCCAUGCAGAAGAUUGAAAAGUCCCUUCUUUGAGGAAUCCAACUAACCCAAGAGCAUGGACCUAAAAGUAUUGAAAGCCAAAGAUCCAGUAAUGAGAAGACCAAGCAAGGCUGGGCGCGGUGGCUCAUGCCUGUAAUCCCAGC
rnacentral:lncRNA from 1 species